AGUGAACGCUGGCGGUAGGCCUAACACAUGCAAGUCGAACGGCAGCACAGUAAGAGCUUGCUCUUACGGGUGGCGAGUGGCGGACGGGUGAGGAAUACAUCGGAAUCUACUUUUUCGUGGGGGAUAACGUAGGGAAACUUACGCUAAUACCGCAUACGACCUACGGGUGAAAGCAGGAGAUCUUCGGACCUUGCGCGAUUGAAUGAGCCGAUGUCGGAUUAGCUAGUUGGCGGGGUAAAGGCCCACCAAGGCGACGAUCCGUAGCUGGUCUGAGAGGAUGAACAGCCACACUGGAACUGAGACACGGUCCAGACUCCUACGGGAGGCAGCAGUGGGGAAUAUUGGACAAUGGGCGCAAGCCUGAUCCAGCCAUACCGCGUGGGUGAAGAAGGCCUUCGGGUUGUAAAGCCCUUUUGUUGGGAAAGAAAAGCAGCAGGUUAAUACCCCGCUGUUCUGACGGUACCCAAAGAAUAAGCACCGGCUAACUUCGUG
rnacentral:rRNA from 1 species